rnacentral:rRNA from 1 species
UGGGGAAUUUUGGACAAUGGGGGAAACCCUGAUCCAGCCAUCCCGCGUGUGCGAUGAAGGCCUUCGGGUUGUAAAGCACUUUUGGCAGGAAAGAAACGUCAUGGGUUAAUACCCCGUGAAACUGACGGUACCUGCAGAAUAAGCACCGGCUAACUACGUGCCAGCAGCCGCGGUAAUACGUAGGGUGCAAGCGUUAAUCGGAAUUACAGGGCGUAAAGCGUGCGCAGGCGGUUCGGAAAGAAAGAUGUGAAAUCCCAGAGCUCAACUUUGGAACUGCAUUUUUAACUACCGGGCUAGAGUGUGUCAGAGGGAGGUGGAAUUCCGCGUGUAGCAGUGAAAUGCGUAGAUAUGCGGAGGAACACCGAUGGCGAAGGCAGCCUCCUGGGAUAACACUGACGCUCAUGCACGAAAGCGUGGGGAGCAAACAGG